rnacentral:rRNA from 1 species
GUAGGUGGCAAGCGUUGUCCGGAAUUAUUGGGCGUAAAGCGCGCGCAGGCGGUUCUUUAAGUCUGAUGUGAAAGCCCACGGCUCAACCGUGGAGGGUCAUUGGAAACUGGAGAACUUGAGUACAGAAGAGGAAAGCGGAAUUCCACGUGUAGCGGUGAAAUGCGUAGAGAUGUGGAGGAACACCAGUGGCGAAGGCGGCUUUCUGGUCUGUAACUGACGCUGAGGCGCGAAAGCGUGGGGAGCAAACAGGGAUUAGAUACCCUGGUAGUCCACGCCGUAAACGAUGAGUGCUAAGUGUUAGGGGGGUUUCCGCCCCCUUAGUGCUGCAGCUAACGCAUUAAGCACUCGCCUGGGGAUACGGCCGCAAGGCUG